AUGGAGAACCAGCUUCAGCAAAGCAAUGUGAGUGAAGUCUGGAGAGGCCUUAGAACCAUCUCAGGUCAUAAACAUCAGAACUCUCUGCCUGUGAGGGAUGUGAGGUGGGCUAAUGAACUGAAUCAAUUCUUUAAUAGAUUUGACUCGGCUACGAGGCAGACCUCAACGUCGGCUGCUGACUCUCCCACCCUCUCUACCACUGUUUCACCUCUGACCUCUCACCCCUCCUCACCUUCAGUAACAGUAUCUAGUACACACUUUACGCAAGGUCCUGGCUGGUCCCUCUCUACCACACAGGUGAGGGGGGAAAUGAGGAGGAUAAAUGGCAGGAAGGCAGCGGGUCCAGAUGGUAUCAGCGCAUGGGUGGUCAGGUCCUGCGCGGACCAACUGUGUGAGGUAAUCGGGCACCUUUUCAACCUGAGCCUGAGGCUGGGAAGAGUCCCAAAGCUCUGGAAAACAUCUUGUGUAGUUCCGGUGCCAAAGACUUCACGCCCCAAGGAUUUUAACAGCUACAGGCCGGUGGCUCUAACAUCCCAUCUUAUGAAGACUCUGGAGCGGUUGGUUCUGGUUUGGCUUCGGCGCCUAGUGGGCUCUUCACUGGACCCGCUCCAGUUUGCCUAUCAAACUGGCAUUGGUGCUGAUGAUGCGGUCAUCCACCUCCUGCAUCGCUCGCUCGCUCACCUGGAGACUGUUGGGAGUACUGUGAGGAUCAUGUUUUUUGAUUUCUCCAGUGCCUUCAAUACCAUUCUUCCCUCGGUUCUGAAGGACAAACUGGUGAACGUUGGAGUGGAUCAUCACUUCGCUACCUGGAUUCUGGACUACCUUUCUGACCGACCACAGUAUGUGAGGGCUCAGGGCUGUGUGUCGGAGAGUGUCAUCUGCAGCACGGGGGCCCCCCAGGGAACGGUUCUGGCUCCGUUCCUUUUUACCAUCUAUACUGCGGACUUCUCCUAUAACUCAAAUCAGUGCUUCUUGCAGAAGUUCUCGGAUGACUCUGCGAUUGUGGGUCUCAUCAAGGAUGGGGAUGACAAGGAGUACAGGAGACUGACUCAGGACUUUGUGGACUGGUGCCAGCUGAACUAUCUACAGAUUAAUGCCAGCAAAACUAAGGAGCUGGUGAUAGACUUUCGUAGGCAUACGCAUUCCUCGCUUCAACCACUGAGCAUACAGGGCAUGGACAUUGAGACUGUGGACAGUUACAGGUACCUUGGGGUCCAUCUGAACAAUAAACUGGACUGGACUCAUAAUUCAGAUGCCCUGUAUAGAAAAGGGCAGAGUAGGCUGUACCUACUACGGAGACUGAGGUCAUUUGGAGUUGUGGGCCCUCUCCUGAAGACCUUUUAUGACUCUGUGGUGGCCUCGGCCAUCUUUUAUGGUGUGGUCUGCUGGGGCAGCAGCAUCUCUGCGGGGGAUAGGAAGAGGCUGAACAGACUGAUCCGCAGGGCCAGUUCUGUUCUAGGAUGCCCCCUGGACCCUGUGGAGGUGGUGAGUGACAGGAGAAUGACAGCUAAACUGUCAUCCAUGUUGGACAAUAUCUCCCAUCCCAUGCAGGUGACUUUGACAGCUAUGAGCAGCUCCUUUAGUGGGAGACUGCGGCACCCAAGGUGUGGGACAGAGAGAUUCCGUAGGUCUUUCCUCCCCACUGCUGUCAGACUCUACAACAAAUCUGUUGGAUGA
ensembl:lncRNA